rnacentral:rRNA from 1 species
UACGUAGGGUGCGAGCGUUGUCCGGAAUCACUGGGCGUAAAGGGCGCGUAGGUGGCUCACGCAAGCGUGCGGUGAAAGCCCGGGGCUCAACCCCGGGUCGGCCGUGCGGACUGCGGGGCUCGAGCACUGUAGGGGCAGAUGGAAUUCCGGGUGUAGCGGUGGAAUGCGUAGAGAUCCGGAAGAACACCGGUGGCGAAGGCGGUCUGCUGGGCAGUUGCUGACACUGAGGCGCGACAGCGUGGGGAGCAAACAGG